rnacentral:rRNA from 1 species
CCCUUAGACGUUCUGGGCCGCACGCGCGCUACACUGACCAGUGCAACAAGCAUCCGUCCUUGGCCGACAGGCCCGGGCAAUCUUUGAACGCUGGUCGUGAUGGGGAUAGACUUUUGCAAUUUUUGGUCUUCAACGAGGAAUGCCUAGUAAGCGCAAGUCAUCAGCUUGCGUUGAUUACGUCCCUGCCCUUUGUACACACCGCCCGUCGCUCCUACCGAUUGAAUGGUCCGGUGAAGCGUUCGGACCGUGGCCUUUGGACGGUUCGCCGUCUGUUGGCUGCGGGAAGUUCGUUAAACCUUAUCAUUUAGAGGAAGGAGAANUCGUANCA